rnacentral:rRNA from 1 species
CCAAUAGCGUAUAUUAAAGUUGUUGCAGUUAAAAAGCUCGUAGUUGAAUUUCAGGCCUGGCUGGACGGUCCGCCCUUCGGGUGAGUACUGUCUGUGGUCGGGUCCUACCUUCUGGCGAAGCGUCAUGGCCUUAACCGGCCGUGGCGGGGAACCAGGACUUUUCCUGUGAAAAAAUUAGAGUGUUCAAAGCAGGCAAUCGCUUGGAUACAUUAGCAUGGAAUAAUGGAAUAGGACAAUGGUUCUAUUUGUUGGUUUCUAGGACCGUUGUAAUGAUUAAUAGGGAUAGUUGGGGGCAUUAGUAUUCAAUUGUCAGAGGUGAAAUUCUUGGAUUUAUUGAAGACUAACUACUGCGAAAGCAUUUGCCAAGGAUGUUUUCAUUAAUCAAGAACGAAAGUUAGGGGAUCGAAGACGAUCAGAUACCGUCGUAGUCUUAACCAUAAACUAUGCCGACUAGGAAUCGGGCGAUGUUGAAAAAAUGACGCGCUCGGCACCUCAUG